UACGGAGGGUGCAAGCGUUAUCCGGAUUCACUGGGUUUAAAGGGUGCGUAGGAGGGCAGGUAAGUCAGUGGUGAAAUCUCCGAGCUUAACUUGGAAACUGCCAUUGAUACUAUCAGUCUUGAAUAUUGUGGAGGUCAGCGGAAUAUGUCAUGUAGCGGUGAAAUGCUUAGAUAUGACAUAGAACACCAAUUGCGAAGGCAGCUGGCUACACAUAUAUUGACACUGAGGCACGAAAGCGUGGGGAUCAAACAGG
rnacentral:rRNA from 1 species